CCGUGAGGGAAAGUUGAAAAGCACUCUGGAGAGAGAGUCAAAAGACCGUGAAACCGCUCAGAGUAUAAGCCCAUGGCAGCUUGGAAGGCAUAUCGCUAGCGGGGCAUCGGUCUCCCUUCACGGGGAGCUGGUGUUACCUUGCUUCUGUUGUGGCUCGUCAAGGUAGGGGGGUCAAGUCCACAUCCCGCCGUCGUGUGUGAAGUUCUUGGGUGUGUUGUUGUCUUUCGGUUGACUUCGGUUGGCCGUUGGGCUCUUCGUGCUUGGUGCUUCUUUAACACGGACGUUCAGACUCAGAGGCAAGACGCGAUAACCAGCCCACCACGGCACGUUGUGAGGUCACCCACAGGCUCAACUUUCGAUUGUGAACCUUGACGCCGAGCAGCACAAUGCGUGUCGCUUAUGUUCCUAACCAGGCAACGCUGCCAGGACCGUGGAACGACACGCGCUCAACAGUCAGGUUCGAGCGAUGACAGAGUUCUGGUACGAUCCUCUUGCGACGAGCCGGCUUCUGGCCAAAAUCCGCUGCUCAGGUCUCCCGCAUGUGCCGCGGGAGAUCGCCCUUGACGGUCUGGAGCUUUUACAAGUCCUCUCAGUCGGGCAACGGAUAGAGUGGUGUAAAGUCCAAGCCCAUCGGUCACGUCUCGAAACACGGGCCAAGGAGUAUAGCAUGUGUGCAAGUCUAAGGGUCUCACAAAACCCGAAGGCGAAGUGAAAGCAAGUAAGCGGCGGGUGAUCUACGGAGAGAUCCCGUCAGCUAGAGGGACCCUCGGGUCUCUCCGGCUUUGGCAGAGUUGAUCCUGCAGCGGUACCGCACACGUACGCUCAGGCGCAAACUCCAGGCUCACGUUUCGCACUGGUUYUCGGACUGUGCUGUGAGCACUGUGGAGCAUGCAUGCUAUGACCCGAAAGAUAGUGAACUAUGCCUGGCGAGGGCGAAGCCCCAGGAAACUGGGGUGGAGGCCCGUAGCCGUUGUGACGUGCAA
rnacentral:rRNA from 1 species